AAAAGUGGCAUACUUCUACAAGACUUACAGUUUUAAUCAACCUGUUGGUCCUUUUGGAGCAAGACGGAAGCCUGCCAAACAGCUAAAAAUGAAUACCUUGAUCAAAUCAGAUUCUUACUGUAUUCUGUAUGUAUCCUUCUUAUGGUAGGAGAAUGCUGACAGUUGACCUCAGCAAGAUGGAGGGAAUAAGAAUGAAGAUGAAAGGGGAAAUGGCUGACUCCCAAACCAAGAAUAAUUCUGUUUUGUUUGACACUGAAAAUUUGAGAAGAAACAAGUAUUUUACAGUUUGACUGCUGUUGGGAUACGGGACAUACGAUUGUGCUCCAGGCUGCACCGUGGCUGUAAAAGUCUGCCAGUGAAGGAGCUGCUCAGGGGGUGAAAGGUGUUAGCUUGGCAAAACCAACUCCUCUCACCCACCUUCUCUGUGGGAUCUAGGGAACUGGUCAGAACAGAGCAGGCACUAUCAUGGUGAAGCCUCUACCACCCUGACGCCAAUGGAUGGAUGGAUGGAUGGAUGGAUGGAAACGGAAUUCAGAUGCCCUUAGGACCUAUUUCCCACAUUUUUCCCAAAUUGGAUUUGGCAGCAAUUUAUGUUUUCAAGAUUUUGCAAAAUGUUGUUUCUGGAAUGUUUGGGAGCAUUAGGUUGAUGGCUACUGCAAGCUACUCAGUGUGAUUGUCAGCCUAAGUAGCUAUAUGAUGUUACACUUCUGCAGAACUCUGGCUAGGGACUGGAACGUCAUUCUUACAUGUGUAGUUUUCAGAAAUAUAUCACACUAGUAUAAAAAUACAUAUAAUUUCUCUAGCUUCAGUCAUUAAAACAAACACCUAAAGUAAUAUUGAUAGGUAUACAUGAAGCAUGUUUCUCAUUAUGGCAAUUAUUAUUACAAGGAACUGGAAGCAUAAGCAACUGACCACUAAAAAAAAGGCCUGGCUAUGACUCAUCUCAGGCUUCUUAUUCCUACUUAAGUGUGAAUACAGCUUUCCGUCCUCACUGUUGCAGUGUUUGUAUCGCCACAUGUCGGCAGUGUAACCAUAAGGCUUCAGCUUUUGCUGGUUAAAGCAUUGAUGUAUCUUUAUUCCUGAAGUAAUUAUGCUAAAUUACAUAUGUUUAAUUAAUAUUGAAAAUACUAGCAAGCAGCUGCUGUCUGAAACUUAUAUUGUCUGAUGUGACACCUAUAUCUAAAACAUGAAAUUAAAAGAGUGCUUGUGUAUUGUUUCAUAUGAGUCUGAAAUGGUACAGGUGCACAAAGAUGGUU